GAGCAAAGAGACUGAAAAUUUCCCUCAGAUACAAGGCUUGUGAAAGCACCUGCAGGAUCAUAGGCUCCUGGAUCAUUUUUGAAAAUGAUGAAACCAAGGCCCAGGGAGAUCACAUGAGUCCUCAGCAGGCGUCAGAGGCAGGCUUCGAACCUGGGUCUUCUGAUUUGAGAACCAGCGUGCCCCUUCCUCUGAACCACGUGGCCUUGACAAGUGAUGGAAUGGGAAGGAUUAGGAAAAGGGAGGAGUCAGAUAACUCUGAAAUUUCAUCCAGGAGGCAGGGCCUUGGAUAAAUUGAGGGGUUCAAAAGAGGUUCAAGUCUGGGGGAAGAUAAGGCAGCCAGAUGGACCAGCCCCGGAAUCUUGCCUCACACUUACCAAAAGUGGGACUCGAGGGCAGACAAGACCGGUCUGGACUGCGUUCUCAUACAAAGCAAAAUGGACUGGAUGGAAGCCAGAAGGGGAGAUAUUGAGUGAGAGUUUGGUUCGACUUGGGCCACUCCAUUUUUGGGCUAGCCAAGAUAGCCAGGGUAAGGAGAGGCUAUGGUGUGAAGGCAGAUGACCUGGAUUCAAAUGCUACUUCUGAGAUUUCCUACUUGUGUGUUCCUGGGUAAGUCACCUAGUUUCCCCGGGCCUCAGCUUCUUCCUCCGUAAACCAUGGUGGGCAAGAGGACCUCUGAGAUUCUUUCUAGCUCUGGUCCUAGAGGCCCAUGAAUCAAUCCUCACUUGGCCUCAGUUCAUUCAUUUGUAAAUGAUGGGGUUGGAUUAGAAAGAUUCAGAGGUCCUCCCCAGAUCCAGACUUUUGUUCUGCCAUAAAACAAGAGGAAGAAAAGUGUGAAGGGGCUCAGAGUUCUGGGAGGAUUACUGUCAGAUUGAUCGAUCCAUCGCUGGCUUGGAGGGAAAUGGUGACAGAAUGGAGCACGUGGAGAAAACACGGUGUAAAGCAUGCAUCCAUUUCUUGUCUGGGCCCCAGUCAGGCUGCCCCUUGAGGGACAGCCCGACCAAGUGCUGAGCCAGGAGUGGAAAAGGCAAUGAUGCGCUGAAGGCUGG
rnacentral:lncRNA from 1 species